GCUUCAUUAGUUCAAGGGAUAGAAUGAUCGGCUACGAACCGGUUGAUCCAGGUUCGAAUCCUGGAUGAAGUG
rnacentral:tRNA from 1 species